GACGAACGCUGGCGGCGUGCCUAAUACAUGCAAGUUGAGCGCUGAAGGUUGGUACUUGUACCAACUGGAUGAGCAGCGAACGGGUGAGUAACGCGUGGGGAAUCUGCCUUUGAGCGGGGGACAACAUUUGGAAACGAAUGCUAAUACCGCAUAAAAACUUUAAACACAAGUUUUAAGUUUGAAAGAUGCAAUUGCAUCACUCAAAGAUGAUCCCGCGUUGUAUUAGCUAGUUGGUGAGGUAAAGGCUCAACAAGGAGAUGAGACAUAGCCGACCUGAGAGGGGGAUAGGCCACCAUGGGAACUGAAAGCGGCCCAAGCGCCUACGGGAAGCAGCAGGAGGGAAUCCUGGGAAAAGGACGAAAGGCUUACCGAGAAACGCCGCGGGAGUGAAGAAGGUUGUCGGAUCGUAAAACUCUGUUGGUAGAGAAGAACGUUGGUGAGAGUGGAAAGCGCAUAAAGUGACGGUAACUACCCAGAAAGGGACGGCUAACUACGUG
rnacentral:rRNA from 1 species